CCAAAACAUAAUCCCUUCUCUGACCCCCGCAGUGCUGGGUCUCUUACAGAAUGAGAUGUGAGUUUUACAGUAUAUCUGCUGAGGCAGUAAUGAGCUCCUUAUUUUGACCUGCAGUCCUAAUGAUGUGUCCAGCUACGCUUUGAACGCAGUGGGUGGCUGCAGGAGUGCGACUCCACCGGGCGUCCAAGCUAACACACACACACACACACACACACACACACACACACACACACAGUGGCUAUACAGGAGGGAGAUUGUGAGAAAACAAAGAUGAACUAGGGAAUAUCAAGCAACUAGACAAGGCAGCAAUGUAAGA